CCAUUCCUCUGCAGUCGUGAUCCAGCCACAGAAGAAGCAAGAUGUGACUGCCUUGCCGAAUAAGGACUUGGUCUCCUUGUUGGCCUUUUCAGGAACUUCGUGUAUUUAGGCAUAUCAUUUGGGGGCUCAUCCUAGAACCCCUAAGCCCAUAGACUACCACCCAUAGAGCCUUCAACUGGCUGGUUCGGGAACCAGAAGUGCCUGAAGAUGAUCUGCAAAAAGAUUACAGGCUUGGUUCCUGGAGAAGACGUUCCCAGUACCCUUCAGCAGAGCGUGGUUUCCUCUGGACUCAGUUUCCUUGUUGACUUUUGUUGAGACUUCAUAGAAUUGGGCAUAACAAUGACCUCAGCUUCCUCUACCAGGAUAUUUACUAGUCUAAGCCUGCACCCUACAGAAAUCUCCCAACGAGACUAGGAGUCUCCUGAAGAAUGUGUGCUGGCAGGAGAUCCUAUCUACAAAGGUUGGAAUGUUGGGAAUUUCCUUUGGGUGGUCUGUUCCUAGGUUGUGCCUGGGCAGGCUCAGUGUGUGGUCCUUAUUGGAACCAGGUAUUGCUUUAGGGUAAACUACUGAGACUCAGGUCUCUAUUAAGCUUAUCAUGGCUGGACCCUACACUUCUUCCUUCACAAGUACCAAUUACGGGACACAGUCAUGGGUCCUGCUUGCCCAUGGGUUUAAGGAGAUAAUAUUGGAACCUAAAUACCUUUAGUUAACAGAUUUUUCCAGGACAGUGGCCAGUCUACCAGGCCCUAUAGUUUUGUUCUUUUCAGUACAACAAAAUUGUAAUUAUAAUCCUUAAUAUCCUCUUUGGUUCUGUGGUUCUGCAUAAAGAACCAAAUGCCUUUUUAUUGUAGGACCAUUUUAGUUAACAAAUCCUUUAAUUGACAACUCUGUGCCUAUUUCUCUGGUAUAUCAACAGGCACUAUAGGUAGUCAUUUUGUCCCCUAUGCCAAGGAGUCAUCCCUUAUCUCAGCCUUUUGGCCUAUUCUGGGCAGAGAGCAUGGGAUGAUGUGCUCCUUCUGCCACUUCUUCAAGCUAAUAUCAGGGUAUUGUCAUCAGGUUUCAAGUAGAUUGAAAGGUUAGCCAAAGGUAAGGAUGAAACUCAGGCCAUGGGACACUCAUCAGAAUCAUCUGGUUCACAGACUGUUGAAGAGCCAGGGAUCAUUCACAUCAGCUGGACUGGUCAACAUCAGCUUUCAGAAAGUCCAGAGCUCACAGUCAUUCAGAGCAGAUUGUAGUCAACAACUGAUACUUAGAUAUGUCUGCCAGCCAAGUGAAAACCUGUUGAGAUAAGUUUAAACUAAGAACAGAAGUUAAAAUUUAUGUACUGAAAAUUAAUACAUUUGAAACUUUUUAAAACAUUUGAAAUCUAUAUUGCAGAAAAAGUACAGAUAAUGGAUACCUUUAUACAGCAGGCAUAGACUCAUAUCUUUGAGUCCUACCAAAAACUACAGAUUUUGGUUAUAAGCAUGUAUAUUUUUCUAAUGUCCAGAGAGCCAUGUAUGGAUUGGACAAAAAUGUCUUUGGCCUGAUAAAAAACACCUUUAAGUUUAUAUUUUGAUGGCCACCAGAAUAAAUCUAAAAUCUCAAGUGUGAUCCAAACAAUAAGUAGUCAUUGCUCUAUCAGCUUAUCAGAACUAUACCUAUAGAAGCCAGAUUCUAUAAGGUCAGUGAGGGUUCCUGGAUAGGGGAUCCUUGAAGCCAAAGAAAAGUCAGAAGAAACAGAAGACAGGAUAGAAUCAGGAGGUCUAUCUGGUCACUCCAAAGCAGCCAAACAGCCCAGAGUUUAUUUCAUAGCUUGAUUAUAUACAAAGACAAAACAAAGCACAGGACAAAUGGUCAGUCAGUAUUUAACCACAAGACUAUUCCUGUCCUUUAGUGAGCAGCCUCCUCUCUAACACGUGCUUGCUGCUCAGAAAAGACAGACCUUAUUUUAUCUAGGCAAAAGAGGUACCAUCAGUUCUCCAAUAUACUGCUGUUUGUCCACAGUCUGGACCAAGUCCUGGCAGCAGGUGUUAGACUGGGGCAUCUUUCCCAGUGGACAACAUCAUCAUAAUCUAGGUAGCAACAUCAUGGUCUCCCAUAAUCUUCUUUGGAGACCUUUGACCACUGCUAGGAUCUCAGAGUCUCUGUCUACUAUAAGCUUUUUAAUCUUUAUUUUAAAUGCCAUAUUCUGCAGAUCUCUGAAGUAUGAGGGCUGUCUAUGUAUACCUGAUUAACAAAUUUUGAUUCUAGUUACUUGUUUUAAGUUUAAUUUUGAAAACAUAUAUAGGGAACUAAAUAAGGAUUAUUCUUGUAAUUAAUUAUAUCAGUACUUAAAGGAUGACUGACUAACUUGUAUUUUCUAACAGUCUAUAAUAAGUUAUCAGCUUUCCUAAGACUAGAAUUUUACAUUCUGUAAUGAUUUUUAUUUGAAACUAAUAAAGAAAAUGAAUUAGUCAUUCUGGGAGUAAAAACAGAACAAGUUUGUAUCCAGCUGUUAAUACUGUCUCCUGGGAAGGCAGAAAAAAUUCCCAGAGUGAAAUGAGAACAGAACAGGAGGGAGUCUAAGGGCUAGCAUUGCCCUAGGACAAACUGAAACUUGGGCCUACUUUCCUGCUUAAUCUAAAGAACCCAUCUUGGUAGGUGUGUACCAAGUUACCCUAGGCAAACUGCCUUGUGCCCUACAUUUUCCCUUUUCACAAGUAUUGAUGACAGUAAUCAAUCAGUGGCUCAAGGACUGAUACUGGAACAUCAAUAC